UACGAAGGGGGCUAGCGUUGCUCGGAAUCACUGGGCGUAAAGGGUGCGUAGGCGGGUUUUUAAGUCAGGGGGGAAAUCCUGGAGCUCAACUCCAGAACUGCCUUUGAUACUGAAGAUCUUGAGUCCGGGAGAGGUGAGUGGAACUGCGAGUGUAGAGGUGAAAUUCGUAGAUAUUCGCAAGAACACCAGUGGCGAAGGCGGCUCACUGGCCCGAUACUGACGCUGAGGCACGAAAGCGUGGGGAGCAAACAGG
rnacentral:rRNA from 1 species